rnacentral:rRNA from 1 species
UACGGAGGGUGCAAGCGUUAUCCGGAUUUACUGGGUUUAAAGGGUGCGUAGGUGGGCAAGUAAGUCAGUGGUGAAAUCUUCGAGCUUAACUCGGAAACUGCCAUUGAUACUAUUUAUCUUGAAUACUUUGGAGGUAAGCGGAAUAUGUCAUGUAGCGGUGAAAUGCUUAGAUAUGACAUAGAACACCAAUUGCGAAGGCAGCUUACUACACAGUUAUUGACACUGAGGCACGAAAGCGUGGGGAUCAAACAGG